AUUGAACGCUGGCGGAAUGCUUUACACAUGCAAGUCGAACGGCAGCACGGGGCAACCUGGUGGCGAGUGGCGAACGGGUGAGUAAUACAUCGGAACGUGCCCCAUCGUGGGGGAUAACGUAGCGAAAGUUACGCUAAUACCGCAUACGAUCUACGGAUGAAAGCGGGGGAUCGCAAGACCUCGCGCGAAUGGAGCGGCCGAUGUCAGAUUAGGUAGUUGGUGGGGUAAAGGCUCACCAAGCCAACGAUCUGUAGCUGGUCUGAGAGGACGACCAGCCACACUGGAACUGAGACACGGUCCAGACUCCUACGGGAGGCAGCAGUGGGGAAUUUUGGACAAUGGGCGCAAGCCUGAUCCAGCCAUUCCGCGUGCAGGAUGAAGGCC
rnacentral:rRNA from 1 species